rnacentral:rRNA from 1 species
UCGGGAAUUUUGGGCAAUGGGCGAAAGCCUGACCCAGCAACGCCGCGUGAAGGAUGAAGUAUUUCGGUAUGUAAACUUCGAAAGAAUAGGAAGAAUAAAUGACGGUACUAUUUAUAAGGUCCGGCUAACUACGUGCCAGCAGCCGCGGUAAUACGUAGGGACCAAGCGUUGUUCGGAUUUACUGGGCGUAAAGGGCGCGUAGGCGGCAAUUCAAGUCAUCUGUGAAAUCUCCGGGCUUAACUCGGAACGGUCAGAUGAUACUGCUUUGCUAGAGUGCAGAAGGGGCAAUCGGAAUUCUUGGUGUAGCGGUGAAAUGCGUAGAUAUCAAGAGGAACACCUGAGGUGAAGACGGGUUGCUGGGCUGGACACUGACGCUGAGGCGCGAAAGCCAGGGGAGCAAACGGGAUUAGAUACCCCAGUAGUCCCUG